rnacentral:lncRNA from 1 species
UGGAACACCAAGAACACUGUCCGUGAUAAGCCAGUGCAGUAAUUGGAAGUGUUUGUGAUGAUGUGAAGGCAGAGUCUGGAGGCCUCCAAGGUGAGACAAGGCAGGCAAUCAACGUGUCAAGGUAAUUUGUUAGCAGUUUUGGCUUUGGGUCAAGGUGUAUAAACCUGCCUGCUGUCUUGUAUGAACCCUGCUAACCUGGGGAAUCUUGGCCAUAGGAGGGCAACCACAAAGUGGAAUACAACUUGGAACUGACAAGAGAAGUCACCUGUCCCUGUAGAUAUAAUGUCUGCUCUGAUGAAGCACACACCCUUCACCAUCUCAGCGAUUUCAUAUGCACUCUGCACCGAGCUUAGAUGAGAUCACACAGCCCAGCUCACUGACCUCACACAGACUGGAACUCUG